GCCGGGAUGGUGUAAUCAGUUAAUGUGUCGCCCCGGUCAGGCGAAGGUUGCGGGUUCAAUUCCCGUUCCUGGCC
rfam:Ixodes scapularis strain Wikel colony gcontig_1108378974354, whole genome shotgun sequence.